rnacentral:SRP_RNA from 1 species
GCUGGACGUGGCGGCCCACAUUAGUAAUUCCAGUCACUGAGGAGGCUGAGGCUGGUGGAUUCUUGAGCUUGGGACUUCUGAGCUGCAGUGGGCUGUGCCAAUUGGGUGGCUUCACUAAAGUCAUCAUCAGUAAGACAGCUCCAGGAACUGGGGUCACCAGGUUGUCUAAGGAGAGUCAAAAUGAUCCACACUGGUGACAGAACAGUUCAAAGCAAACUUGCUUUUCAGUGGUAAGAUUGGGCCUGUGAGCAGCCCCUGUGUUGUAGCCUAGAUGAGAUGGGAAGUUGUUGUUGU